rnacentral:hammerhead_ribozyme from 1 species
GCACUGCUGAGGAGUCCCACAACAGGACAAAACGACGUCCAGUGC